GACGAACGCUGGCGGCGUGCCUAAUACAUGCAAGUCGGGCGAAUGGAUUAAGGGCUUGCUCUUAUGAAGUUAGCGGCGGACGGGUGAGUAACACGUGGGUAACCUGCCCAUAAGACUGGGAUAACUCCGGGAAACCGGGGCUAAUACCGGAUAACAUUUUGAACCGCAUGGUUCUAAAUUGAAAGGCGGCUUCGGCUGGCACUUAUGUAUGGACCCGCGUCGCAUUAGCUAGUUGGCGAGGUAACGGCUCGCCAAGGCAACGAUGCGUAGCCGACCGGAGAGGGUGAUCGGCCACACUGGGACUGAGACACGGCCCAGACUCCUACGGGAGGCAGCAGUAGGGAAUCUUCCGCAAUGGACGAAAGUCUGACGGAGCAACGCCGCGUGAGUGAUGAAGGCUUUCGGGUCGUAAAACUCUGUCGUUAGGGAAGAACAAGUGCUAGUUGAAUAAGCUGGCACCUUGACGGUACCUAACCAGAAAGCCACGGCUAACUACGUGCCAGCCGCCGCAGUAA
rnacentral:rRNA from 1 species